GAUGAACGCUGGCGGCGUGCUUAACACAUGCAAGUCGAACGGUGAACGAGGGAGCUUGCUCCCUCCGGAUCAGUGGCGAACGGGUGAGUAACACGUGAGCAAUCUGCCCUGGACUCUGGGAUAAGCGUUGGAAACAACGUCUAAUACCGGAUACGAGGCGUGGGGGCAUCCCCAACGCCUGGAAAGAACUUCGGUCCAGGAUGAGCUCGCGGCCUAUCAGCUAGUUGGUGAGGUAACGGCUCACCAAGGCGACGACGGGUAGCCGGCCUGAGAGGGUGACCGGCCACACUGGGACUGAGACACGGCCCAGACUCCUACGGGAGGCAGCAGUGGGGAAUAUUGCACAAUGGGCGCAAACCUGAUGCAGCAACGCCGCGUGAGGGACGACGGCCUUCGGGUUGUAAACCUCUUUUAGCAGGGAAGAAGCGAAAGUGACGGUACCUGCAGAAAAAGCACCGGCUAACUACGUGCCAGCCGCCGCCGUAACAC
rnacentral:rRNA from 1 species